rnacentral:lncRNA from 1 species
GCAAUUAUGCUAGAAUGCCUUUACAAACUGCUACCUUUCUAAAUUUGAGCCCAAAAUAUUUGAUUGGUUAUUUUUGAAAUGUUAUUGAAAGUGACCAUUAUUAAUGGUUUUAGUGAAAUUCAUAUUAGUGAUUUCAGUGAUAUGUUGAGUACAUGAUAUUUGCUGCUUUCGAAUGUUUAAAGAGAUUUAGAAAUAAUUUAAGUAUGCAAGUGGACUCAUCCGGUUCGCCGGUGAGGUAUAAGUGGACCUAUCCAAGACGCCGGUAGGGAUUAAGUGGACUCAUCCGGUACGCCGGUGAGGUAUAAGUGGACCUGCAGGGAUUAAGUGGACCUAUCUGGGACGCCGAUAGGGAUUAAGUGGACCUAUCAGGACGCUGAUGGGGUAUAUAGGUGACCUACUUGAGACGCCAAUAGGGUAUUUU